CAUGAGGUAGAUGGCCAGAGCGCGUUUUCUCCUUGGUGACACGGGCAUUGCCAGCAAAAUCGGUGGUCAAGCCACUGUUCUCGUCGGCAGCCCUGCUCCGGCCGGUUCUGGCUUGUCCAAGCGUGUCACACAGCUUCCCCUCGAUGUUGUCUUCCCCCUCGAGCUCGUUCCCCCUUCGUUUGCUUCCUCGUUGAGCCGUCACCGUCGCCGAACACAGUGAGCGCCCGUGUGCGCCGUUGUUUCCUCACUCCUGUCCGCGAACUUUGCUCGAUUUUGUGACCUCCUGGCGCUCGUCCGCGUCCCCCUCGUCGCCUUGCCGCCCCUUCCCGUGAGUCUUGGCUGCCCGUGCGCGUCGCCGGCGCACGGACACUUAGCCGUGUCGCGUGUCACCUCCUCCCCUCCCUCUCGAGCCUUCCCGGCGGCUAAUUAAGCAUGCCUCGAGCUUCAUCGCGUUCCACAACCCCCUCCGAGAGCCUCUCCCCGAGCCCAGAGCCCCUCUCUGAUCCCCACCGCCGCUAUGGUCGCUGCCUCGGGUCCCUUUGAUUCCGGCGACCAGGAGUCCCCCUCGCCGUUCCACCUCCACCACGGCAUCACCUGAGGUCCGGCGAGCCUCCCCGUGGCCUCAGCCUCGCUGUUCCCCCACCGGAGCACCCUGUUCGCUGGCGGCCGAAGCCACCUCCGCCGCGAGCCCUGCUGCUCCUUUCCCAAUCCCCCUCACUGGCAACGGAGACCACCCCGAGAUGCGCCUCUCGCUCCUGAACUCGUGGGUAGGUCAGCUGUCGUCUGCGAUGGCCAGAGUCGCCAGCAAUAGCUGUCGAGGCGAGCCCCUCCCUCGGCUAGGCGCGCGCAUGAGCGGGAGGUUGAAGACGCCAGGCCAGGCAGGCCCCUCCCCGCGUGACCCCACCUGGCAGCGUCUCGGCGUUGACCCUGCCCCGGGCCCGCGUCUAAAACGUAUUCGACCCAAAGGCGCGUUCAUUUUUUCCUCCAGGGGCCUGUUUGCUGGAAAAAAUUCACCGAUAGGUCCCUGAGCUUCAACCCUUGGUAUCUCGACAACCGUAACUCCGAUUGAGCCCCCUCCAAGAGAGAACUGUUUCCGGCAACUGUUUCCGCGAUCGUUUCACACUUCUUCCCGAAGUAUUUGUCGACCCCAGGCAAGCCAACCUCUUAUCAUGAGCCCCGAAAUUGCAUGUUGACUUUGCUUGCACCUCAUGUGUGUGUUUAGUUGUAGUACUUUCUUGUCUGUUCCGUCUGCUGUUAUUUUAGUCGUGCUAUAUGUUUUUGUUAUCUGUCUUGCAUGCUUAUACCUUCAUGAAAUAAGUUGACGUGCUAGUUUGCUGUUGUUACUGAUAAUAUCAUGCCUCUGUCUAGUUUAUUUUCAUGUUAGUAGUAUAGAUGUUAUGAUAUUCUGUUGCACUAGUGAAAUUACUAGUACUUGUUAUUGCCAUGUUUCGCAUGCUAUCAUUGUUCAUUUGAAAAAGCUUGAUUUUGUUACUGCAUCGGUACGUUGCAUGAUAGUUGUUGCAUUCAUGUUAAAAUGCUCGCAUGAUGAUUGAUGAUGGAGAAGUUAAUAAUAUGACUUAAUAUCAAACCUCCUCCGUCAUCACUAGGAUAUCAUAGUGCCACCAAAUCGAGCUUUCUCUAGGGCAACCACAUUUACCUUGUGGGAGGUCCUAGCUGGGUUUAUUGCCAUGCCUCUCACCAGUGCCUCCAACUAGGGAAGGUUAUGGGCGCGCCUUACCCUGAUCAGGUAGGCGGACAUAAGCCUUGUGUGCCCGGGUUUGGUUUUGAGCUCAUGUCCCCGUUUGGGACCGUUUUGCCACGACGGUUGGCGUUGGUACCUUUGGUAGGUACGGGGCCACCUAGGACUGAACCCAAAAGGGGUCUUGGUCGGAGUGGCCGGGAGAGUGUCAUGGUAGUAGGUCAGUUUUGUCGGAACGCCGUUGGUCCACACGUAUGGGAGUGCGAGGCCAUGGGUUCAGUGGUGUGGGUAAAGU